GGACAGGUACAGUUCAGUGGUAGAGCACGUGCUUAGCAUGCAUGAGGUCCUGGGUUCAAUCCCCAGCGCCUCCA
rnacentral:tRNA from 1 species